AGAUCUUGGGGUACAGAAUUUAGUAUUUGAGUACACAGCAGCGGCAGACCAACCCCAACAUGUUGUCGUGUUUUAUUUACAAUUAGCUCCUUAAUCUAGAUUAUUCUCAGUGAGAAAAUUCAUUUACAUGGGACAAGGCAGGGCUAGAAGUUGAGGACACUUCCAGCCAAGAACCUAGUGGUGAAUGCUGGGAAGCAGUCUUGUUCUCUCAGAGUUUGGGUCAAUUUCUGGGUAAUUUUUUUCAAAGCCACUGAUGACUUCAUAAUGGGUUCCUCAGGAGUUGCCAGUGAGUCUCAUCCCAGCAUGAGCCAGCCUCAGUUCCCUCAGAAACAGCCACCAACAAAGGACUCUGCUUCAACUCAUCACUCCGGAUCCUCCCUGCUGCCCACAGUAACUUUCUCUCCUCAGUUGGCUCUGCAAAGUCUGCUCUCAGGCCCUAGCUAACCGCAGCCUCUCCUCUCUCCACUCCUGCUCUCAAAGACUCUGCUGUGCCCAUGCUGGACUUUCUCCUGAAACUCAUAGUCAUUGACCCUCUCUCCUAGCUCUUGGUCCAGCAGCACCAUUUCUUUACCUGGCUACACGGGCUACAGCCUGCAGUGUGGGCAGAGCCUCUACCUUCCAACCACCUUGUUUCUGAGUCAGGUAGUGAGGCUUGCUAUCUGAGCUUGGGGCACGUAUAUGCCCAUCUCCGGCUUGCUGGUGAUCCAUCCGUCUGUCUUCUGUACUGGCUGCUUCUUGAAGGCAAAGACCUUGCUUGGCUUUGUUCCUUCUGAAAACCCUGUAGCCAACACAGGGCGUCACUGUGGCCAAAUGAAAGAGUGGUCAUACCAGCCCAUUAACCCAUCAGAUAGAUGGUCAAUUCAUGCCUGGCUAGAUAGGGGUCAGGGAGAAACAGCACCCUAUCUUAGGAACAGGGAAUGGAGGAGGCUGGGAGGCUCUGUGGUGUAGCUGUAAAAUUAUAUAAAAAGUAAAAUGUUGUCUUUUA